rnacentral:rRNA from 1 species
UACGGGGGGUGCGAGCGUUGUCCGGAAUCACUGGGCGUAAAGGGCGCGUAGGUGGUUUGAUAAGGGUGUGGUGAAAGUCCGGGGCUCAACCCCGGAUCUGCCGUGCCGACUGUCAAACUCGAGGGCUGUAGAGGCAGACGGAAUUCCGGGUGUAGCGGUGGAAUGCGUAGAGAUCCGGAGGAAGACCGGUGGCGAAGGCGGUCUGCUGGGCAGUUUCUGACACUGAGGCACGAAAGCGUGGGGAGCAAACAGG